AACUGGAGGAAGGUGGGGAUGACGUCAAGUCCUCAUGGCCCUUAUGGGUAGGGCUUCACACGUCAUACAAUGGUCGGAACAGAGGGUUGCCAACCCGCGAGGGGGAGCUAAUCCCAGAAAACCGAUCGUAGUCCGGAUUGCACUCUGCAACUCGAGUGCAUGAAGCUGGAAUCGCUAGUAAUCGCGGAUCAGCAUGCCGCGGUGAAUACGUUCCCGGGUCUUGUACACACCGCCCGUCACACCAUGGGAGUGGGUUUUACCAGAAGUGGCUAGUCUAACCGCAAGGAGGACGGUCACCACGGUAGGAUUCAUGACUGGGGUGAAGUCGUAACAAGGUAGCCGUAUCGGAAGGUGCGGUUGGAUCACCUCCU
rnacentral:rRNA from 1 species